UUUGAUCCUGGCUCAGGAUGAACGCUAGCGGCAGGCCUAAUACAUGCAAGUCGAGGGGUAGAUUUAACUUCGGUUGAAUCGAGACCGGCGGACGGGUGCGUAACGCGUAUGCAACUUACCCUUUACUGGGGGAUAGCCCGGGGAAACUCGGAUUAAUACCCCAUAGUACCAUUUGAUGGCAUCUGAAGAUGGUUAAAGAUUUAUUGGUAAUGGAUGGGCAUGCGUCUGAUUAGCUAGUUGGUGAGGUAACAGCUCACCAAGGCGACGAUCAGUAGGGGGUCUGAGAGGAUGAUCCCCCACACUGGCACUGAGAUACGGGCCAGACUCCUACGGGAGGCAGCAGUAGGGAAUAUUGGGCAAUGGACGCAAGUCUGACCCAGCCAUGCCGCGUGCAGGAAGACGGCCUUCUGGGUUGUAAACUGCUUUUGACAGGGA
rnacentral:rRNA from 1 species